rnacentral:lncRNA from 1 species
AUUUCUGCUCACAGCCCUCGGAGCCCGAGCGCUACAGCAGCAGCAGCAGCAGCAAGAGGAGGUGGAGGUGGAGGAGGAAGAGAGUACGAGCCUCCUCGGAGGGGGAGGAGGAAGGCCACGGGAAAAGAAAGAGCAACCUCUCCCGGCCGGGCACCGAGCACCCAGCACCCAGCAGGUCGAGGCACUGGAUCAGCCUCUCCCCUCCCCCGCCGUAACCCGACCGGCCGCUCCCCGCCCCGGGCUCCUGGGACCCGGCCAGAGCCUGGGGGAGCACCGGUUCCCCGGCACCAGUUUCAGCCUCGCGGCCACCGGCCUCUUGGACCCCAGCGUUCCCCCGCGAGCUCGCCGCUCCUCCGAGCGCCCCAACCCCCGGCUCCCGUCAGCUCGCCCCGGGCCGCCCAUCCCAGGUCAACCGCCCGGGACGAGCCCGACGCGCCGCGCCGCCCCUCGGAGCGGCUCCCCUCGGGUCCCGGAGCCUCUCCCCGGCGCCCAGGGCCGCGACCCCGCCGUCCCCUAGCUCCCGAGGGCCAGGGGCUCGGCGCCGCUGCAGCCCCCUCCUCCGCCGCCCGGGCUCGGGGCUCCGUCUCCUCCUCUCAGGCCCCGCCCAGCGCCCCGCGAUACUUACGGGCUGCUUCUGGGGCGGCUUGGACCACAGACCGCGGCGGGGCGGGGAGCAGCGCGGCAGGGCGGGGGCGCGGGAGGGUCGGGAGCGGCGGGCUCGCCGAGUGCACCUGGUCGCCGCUGCGGGGCGGAGGACAGAGAGAACGGAGGCCUCGGGCGGGCCCUGGAGCUCGCCGCCGGUGGCGCGGGGUGGCGGGCGCGGGGAUCAGACGAGCGCGCUCACUUCUCCACACAGCCCGGUGCCCGGCCCAGCGUCCCGUCGUGCGCCCGCUCCACGCCGGGCCAGAGCUUCGCUCUUUCUGCCGCGGCGCGCGCCCCGCCUCUCGUUUUAUGGCCUCCUCCCAACCCCCAUCCCUUCUGCCGGGGUGCGCGCGCCCGCCCCUCGUCACCCAGGCCCGGCGGCGCAGCCAGUCCCGGCGCUCCCAGCCCAGCAACCCCGGCCCCCGCCGCCGGCUCCGCCCCUGCCCUGCCCCCCGACGCCAUUGGCCAAGUCCCGGCUGCCCGUGUCCGGACGCGCGGUGGACGCAGGGGUGGGGAAGCCGCGCCCUCGGGCUCCGGGAGGGCCAAUGA